rnacentral:rRNA from 1 species
UACGUAGGGGGCGAGCGUUAUCCGGAUUUACUGGGCGUAAAGCGCGUUAAGGCGGUUGGCAAAGUUGGUUGUGAAAUCUCAGGGCUCAACCCUGAAAUUGCGACCAAUACUGGUCGACUAGAGUGUGAGAGAGGAAGGUGGAAUUCCCGGUGUAGUAGUGAAAUGCGUAGAUAUCGGGAGGAACACCAGUGGCGAAGGCGGGUCUCUGGGCCGAUACUGACGCUGAGGAGCGAAAGCGUGGGGAGCGAACAGG